CAGGACACUGCUGCUAUAUCUGUGAAGUGUUGUGAGUGGAACAGGCUGCUGCCAAUGCCGAUCUGUGAGGCGAACUGAAGAUUUCCUGGCAACACAGACGGGAGUUGCUCCAAAGAACUUUUCUAAACAGAUCGGGGCUUCUCAGAGUUCACUGUGCACUCAGAUCACCUAGAGUGAAUGUUUAACCCAGUUCAAGCAUCGCACAGUGCAGGCGGCAGAACGUGGCAUGAGCUCUCUGAGCUGUCCAGGUCACCUGGAUAUGCAAAACUCCAGCGAAGCUUCCAGAUGAGUCCCGUGAAUGCAUUUCUCCAGGGCAUGGACCCAAACUCAUUCUGAUUGUAAUGGCAAGAUGAUGCUCUCCAAGCAUUAGUGCCAUACCUACAUCAAAUAUAGCAUGACUUGGCCUUCAAAUGACUUUUGUCUUUGAGAUCAAAGACUGAUGAAUGAUUGACAUAAGAAAGCCACUUACAUUUU